UACGGAGGGAGCAAGCGUUACUCGGAAUUAUUGGGCGUAAAGGGCGCGUAGGCGAUCUGACAAGUCUGGUGUGAAAGCCCACAUGUUAACUGUGGAAGUGCAUUAGAAACUGUUGGAUUUGAGUUCAGGAGAGGAAGGCAGAAUUCCCGGUGUAGCGGUGAAAUGCGUAGAGAUCGGGAGGAAUACCAGUGGCGAAGGCGGCCUUCUGGACUGACGACUGCGCUGAGGCGCGAAAGCCAGGGAGCAAACGGG
rnacentral:rRNA from 1 species